rnacentral:rRNA from 1 species
GAUGAACGCUAGCUACAGGCUUAACACAUGCAAGUCGAGGGGCAGCACAGUGUAGCAAUACACGGGUGGCGACCGGCGCACGGGUGCGUAACGCGUAUCCAACCUUCCCGUUACUCUUGGAUAGCCUUCCGAAAGGGAGAUUAAUACAAGAUGGUAUUCAAAUUCCGCAUGUUAUUUGAACUAAAGAUUUAUCGGUAACGGAUGGGGAUGCGUGACAUUAGCUAGAUGGCGGGGUAACGGCCCACCAUGGCAACGAUGUCUAGGGGUUCUGAGAGGAAGGUCCCCCACACUGGAACUGAGACACGGUCCAGACUCCUACGGGAGGCAGCAGUGAGGAAUAUUGGUCAAUGGUCUGACGACUGAACCAGCCAUGCCGCGUGAAGGUCACGGCCCUAUGGGUCUUAAACUUCUUUUGUAAGGGAGCAAUAAGUCUCACGCGUGGGAUGAUGAGAGUACCUUACGAAUAAGCAUCGGCUAACUCCGUGCCAGCAGCCGACGG